rnacentral:rRNA from 1 species
CAGCCGCCGCGGGAAUACGUAGGGUGCAAGCGUUAUCCGGAAUUAUUGGGCGUAAAGAGCUCGUAGGCGGUUUGUCGCGUCUGCCGUGAAAGUCCGGGGCUCAACCCCGGAUCUGCGGUGGGUACGGGCAGACUAGAGUGAUGUAGGGGAGACUGGAAUUCCUGGUGUAGCGGUGAAAUGCGCAGAUAUCAGGAGGAACACCGAUGGCGAAGGCAGGUCUCUGGGCAUUAACUGACGCUGAGGAGCGAAAGCAUGGGGAGCGAACAGGAUUAGAUACCCCUGUAGUCCCUGUCUCUUAUAC